rnacentral:rRNA from 1 species
UACGUAGGGGGCAAGCGUUGUCCGGAUUUACCGGGCGUAAAGCGCGCGUAGGCGGAAGGGUAAGUCUGGCCUGAAAGCCCCCGGCUCAACCGGGGAGGGUGGCUGGAAACUGCUGUUCUUGAGGACGAUAGAGGAGUGUGGAAUUCCUGGUGUAGCGGUGAAAUGCGUAGAGAUGUGGAGGAACACCGAUGGCGAAGGCAGCCCCCUGGGUCAAGACUGACGCUCAUGCACGAAAGCGUGGGGAGCAAACAGG